rnacentral:lncRNA from 1 species
AAUCCCGAGGUUUAGACGUUAGUUGGUCCGCUUUGAUCCGAGCAAGAGCGUGGAGCAGAAGACCGCCCUGCGUUAUCCCCCGGCUUGGCCGCGGGGCACCUGUGCGCUCCCGCUGCGCCUUGGGCCGGGCUGCCUUUGUUUCUUUAGAGCACAGCACUCGGCAGCCCCUGCGCCCUCGGCCUACCUCCGCAGCAGCUGGGAACCGGGCAGCCCAGCGGGCCGGCCGCACGGCGUUACCAGAGCUGCCGCGGCCGCCUGGAGCCCCAGCCGCCAUCCUGAGAAUUCGCCGAGCUUCCAGGCGAAUAGCCUGGCCAGGCCCCAUGCUGGAGCCGAAGGGCUGCUGAGCCCGGCCUGCUCUGCCGGCUCGCCUCGGCCUGAAUUCCACGCAGACCCACGUCUUCGGCCAAGGAACCCCUUCUUAACACGUAUAUUAUUCAGAAUAAAAACUUUAUUUCUUUUUGUUUCUCAGAAUGUGAGCAGCAAGGAAUGUAGAAUUCUCAAAACAAAUCUAGUAUUUUUCGCGUUUACAGAUUUUUUUUUUUCAGUUUUGCCGGAUGUUACAAACCUAAAUCACUGUUUUCAAAAGCUGGAUCUUCUCUGGUUUUAUUGCAUCAUUACCGUUUAAAGGAAUUAUACUUCCCUUUGAAAUAAAAAAAAAAAUUCUAAGUACGCCAAUACACAAUUGAACAAAAGGCCCAAGAACCCUCUGAACCAUCAGGGUACAGAAUUUCUUUAAUAUAAAUACGAACGGAUGGGGAUAAAUAAUAUUUAAAACUUAGAUUAUUCAAUGCUUGCAAAAAAAUAUAAAUAAAUCUGACUGUUCACCAGCAUACACACACGGAAAGACGUACACUUAGUCAUCCUUGCACAGGGAGCCCCUGUUUCAAAGCGCCUUUGAUUUUUUUUUCUCAUUCUUUAUAAGAAGUGCAAUUAAAAAAAUUAAAAUUAAAAAAAGUAAUCGCUUCCCCUCGGGAGCCAUAAUGUACGAACAAAUUCACAUUGAAAACUCGACUAGAAAAUUUGUUCAUAUACCCUGUUUCUGAUCAAAGAGUGGAGAAGGUAAAGGGUGCAGGGCCAGUGGCCUAUCGAGGAGCACGAAGAGAUAAAUAUCGCUACUGAUACAGCCAUUCCAGCAACCAAGAUUGCUACGUCACAUAAACUAUAAAAACGCCUUCCCAACGAGGGGGGAAACCGGGAAAGGAGUGCGGGGGCGGAGAAGAGAGAAAAGGAAGGAAGGAAGGAAAGGGCAGGAAGAACCUAAAAAAAAAAAAAAAAAAA